rnacentral:rRNA from 1 species
GUACACGCUGUGACUAGCAUAUCAAUAAGCGGAGGAAAAGAAACUAACAAGGAUUCCCCUAGUAACGGCGAGUGAAGCGGGAAGAGCUCAAAUUUGAAAUCUUAAAGGGUUUCCCUUUACGAAUUGUAGUUUAAAGAAGUGUUUUCUGUUGAGGUUUUGGUAAAAGUUCUUUGGAAUAGGACAUCAUAGAGGGUGAGAAUCCCGUAUUUGACCUUUACUUUCAACUUUGUGAUACACUUUCAAAGAGUCGGACUGUUUGGGAAUGCAGUCCAAAAUGGGUGGUAAAUUUCAUCUAAAGCUAAAUAUUGGCGAGAGACCGAUAGCGAACAAGUACCGUGAGGGAAAGAUGAAAAGAACUUUGAAAAGAGAGUUAAACAGUACGUGAAAUUGUCAAAAGGGAAGCGUUUGACACCAGUGUUGUUUUUCUGAAAAUCAAUUAAAGAACUGUUUAUGCUAAGCUGUUUAGACUUUAUCAGCUAUCUGUUUAGUUUUGAGCUUUUCUUUAAUGCACUUUUCAGUUAACAAGUCAACAUCAAUUUCUUUUGCUGUAAAAAAGCUUGAGGAAGGUGGCUUGAGAUUCGUCUUAAGUGUUUAUAGCCUCUUGCCUAUGCAGUCGGAGAGAUUGAGGUCUGCAGCGUAGAUCCUUCGGGGCUAAAUGCAUUUGUGCUAAGUUAUAGCAUUUUAUAGACAACUUGUUGACUAUGAUUUGUCUUGUAGCUUACUCGCUUAUGUUAUUUUACCUACGCUUAGGAUGUUGAUCUACAGAGCGAGAGU